rnacentral:tRNA from 1 species
GCCUUCGUGGUGUAGUGGUGAACACGCUCGGCGCGUCAUCAAGAGGUCCGUGGUUCGAUUCCCGGCGAAGGCA